GACGAACGCUGGCGGCGUGCUUAACACAUGCAAGUCGAACGGAAAGGCGCUGCUUGUGGGGGGUGCGCGAGGGGCGAACGGGUGAGUAACACGUGAGUAACCUGCCGUGGAGGUUGGGAUAACUUCAGGAAACUGAGGAUAGUACCGGAUAGGAGGUCGUGCUGCAGGGAGGGGGAGGGAAAGUUUCGGUGGUAGGGGGUGGGCUCGCGGCUUAUCAGGUUGUUGGUGGGGUAGAGGCUGACAAAGGCUUUGACGGGUAGCCCGCAGUGGAGGUGGACCAGCCCCCUUGCUACUGCGAUACGGAGCAGACUGCUAUGGUAGGCAGCAGUGGCGAACCUUGCCCAAUGAUCCGACGUGUGAUGCGGCAACGUCGCGUGUGUGAUGUCCUCUUUUGCGUUGUAAACCGCUUUCGCUUGUGACCCAGCGUUAGUGACGGUACUGGGUGAAUAAGCACCGGCUAACUACGUG
rnacentral:rRNA from 1 species